rnacentral:tRNA from 1 species
GACCGCAUAGAUCAGUUGGAAGACCAUUGGGCUAGUAUACCAAAGGUCGUAGGUUCGAAUCCUACCGUGGCCG